GAGGGUAUGGCUCAGUGGUAGAGUGCGUGCUUAGCACGCAUGAGGUCCUGGGUUCAAUCCCCAGUACCUCCA
rnacentral:tRNA from 1 species